UACGAAGGGGGCUAGCGUUGCUCGGAAUUACUGGGCGUAAAGCGCACGUAGGCGGCUUUUUAAGUCAGGGGUGAAAUCCUGGAGCUCAACUCCAGAACUGCCUUUGAUACUGAGAAGCUUGAGUCCGGGAGAGGUGAGUGGAACUGCGAGUGUAGAGGUGAAAUUCGUAGAUAUUCGCAAGAACACCAGUGGCGAAGGCGGCUCACUGGCCCGGUACUGACGCUGAGGUGGCGAAAGCGUGGGAGCAACAGG
rnacentral:rRNA from 1 species